CACACUAACCUGGGCAACAGAGUCAGACUGUCUCAAAAGAAAAAACAAACAAACAAACAAAAAAACCCUGGGACUGCCUUCCAGGCCCAUCAGCCAUCUGCCUGGUUGUAGACACACUGGCUAGGGAGGGGUCUUGGCAUCUCAGUCAUGUCUGUGCUAUCUCAGCCAGGGGACAGUGUGACUUCCACCUCUGCAGAGGAUCCUUGAGCCUGGCCACAAUCCCAAGACAACAAGGCCCCGGUGUGCUUCAGCUGUGUCAUGGGAGAUGUAGUAAUGGACUGGAGCUCAGGGCUCCCAAAAUUUGGGGAUCUAGGUAGGCAAGAGAGAACUUUGCUCCAGAGGAGUUCUUGGAGAGUACCUCUGAGGAAGAAGAGAACAGGAGGUGGAGUUUUGCACUUGAGACCUCGGCUUCUCUUUCAUCACCUUGCUCCCCAGAUCCACUGUAUGCUCAACAUCUGGGGUGUCAUCCUCUACCUGCAGCUGCCUUGGAUCACUGCUCAGGCAGGCGUAGGACUCACAUGGUUCAUUGUCCUGCUCUUGGCCUCUGUCUCUACUACCCAGUAGUGGCUUGUGUAUCUCAGCCAACACCACCAAUGGCAAAAUCAAGGUUGGUGAGUCUAUGGUGACCUCGUUAACCCUAGGGGUCCACAGUCCUAUUAGGAACUGCCAAGACCACAGACCAGUUCUUCUUUUCUCUCCUCUCAGGUGGCACAAAUUUCCUCAUCUCACGCAGCCUGGAUCCAGAGCUUGGCAUUUCCACUGGGAUCAUCUUCGCCUUUGCCAAUGCCAUAGCUGUGGCUAUGCACAUGGUGGGCUUUGCAGAGACCCUCUCAGACUUACUCCAGAUAAUGCCUGUCCCUUUCCUUUUUGUGUUCCUCUCUUAAGUCUGCUGACCCUGGAAAGUCUAACCCUCUAUCUGAAGGUCUAAUCCUCCAUCCCAGGCAAAUCAUUUAAACAAUCAUAUGGAAGCAUCAAAUCAGCUAAUAAAUACUUGUGACCUCAGUGUUCUGCCCUUCCAGGAGCAUGGGGUGCAGCUGCCAAACAUGGAUCCUGAAAACGAUUUGCGAGUGGUGGGCGUGGCCACCGUGACUAUCUUUCUGGGUGUGGCGCUGACUGGCAUAGAGUGGGAGUCUAAGGCAGGUAUUGGGAAAUCUAGGUGGGGGUGAGGAGGCUGAGGGGUGGCAGGGCCAGGUGGCGAUGGGAGGAGAGGUGGGCUUAUGUGUGUGUGGUGGGUAAAAGCAGCUGCUGCCUGAGAAGACCAAGCUAAAUAUGGGGGAAGGAGGUGGUGGAGCAGAUUCCCAGGGAGAGGAACCUGAAAUUAGAUGGUUUUGUUGGAAGAGACUUCACACCCCAGUUCUUCAAGGGGAAGAAAAGAGGAUUUAUUCUGAGGAUCUGUUGGGAUGAGCACCGGACAGGACUAGUGGGAGAGACACCAGAUGAGAAAUGCUAUGUAUUGCUCCCAGACCAGAUAUUUGCAAUUUUAAGAUCUACCUCUGUGGCACGGGGAGGUAUGCUUUGCAGUUUGAGGCAAGAAGGAAAAGGAUACCCAUUUGGCUGGAACUCCUUUGUGGAAGAGGCCAGUAGAAAAAGGAACUAGAGGGUUAGGAAAAGCAUUAAGAUGGGACAAGGAGGAGUGGGGCCUGGUAGCAUGCACCUGUAGUCUCAGCUACUGGGAAGGCUGAGGGGGGAGGAUUGCUUGAACCGAAGAGUUCAAGGC